rnacentral:rRNA from 1 species
UACGUAGGGUGCGAGCGUUGUCCGGAAUUAUUGGGCGUAAAGGGCUCGUAGGCGGUUUGUCGCGUCGGGAGUGAAAACACCGGGCUUAACUCGGUGCUUGCUUUCGAUACGGGCAGACUAGAGGCAUGCAGGGGAGAACGGAAUUCCUGGUGUAGCGGUGAAAUGCGCAGAUAUCAGGAGGAACACCGGUGGCGAAGGCGGAUCUCUGGGCCGAUACUGACGCUGAGGAGCGAAAGCGUGGGGAGCGAACAGG